GCACAGCGCACCCUCCCGGCCUGGAGGUUCGCCACGGAGGGCGUGUGGGGGCCCCAGGAGCGAGGGUGCAGGGGAGAGGACGCCCGGGUUUUAGGGGGAGCGCGGAGACUACAUUCCUGCUGAGUAAAGCGGGGGCUUCCGACAGACUGCCCUGCGGGUUUCUGGAGCGGGUUCAGGCCCCCAGCCACCCGCCCUGGGCCAGGGUUCGAGGGUUCGGGGUCUUGGGAUUUGGAGGUUGCGGGGCUUUGGAGUCCAGAGGGUCUAGGGGAUCCGGGAGUCUGGGGGUCCUGGGUCGCGGCGAGCCCCGCAGAGGAGCAGGAAGCCGCGCGUGCGGGGCGUGCCCAGGCUCUGGGUGUGGAGCAGGUGACGCCCCCACCCCGGCCUCGCGCGUGGGACCUGAUCCCGGGCCGUGGUGAGGAGGCCCUCGCGGCUUCCCUGCAGCCCUCCUUUCUCGUGCUUGUUAAAUCCCAAAACGGGCGGAGAAGGGAAAGCCUGAUCUAAAGCAAAAGAGGUGCAGCUGGUUCCGCACAGUGCCUUAGGAGAGCCAAGGGAACAGUUGCGAGAGACAGUCCUGUGGGGUCCAACUGAGGAGAAGGUUGAUGAGGAUGGAGCCUUUACUGCUUUAAUGUUUGUGAAUAAAGUGGUCGCUCCCUUUGGGAACCCUGGGCCACAUCCUUUAAAUUAAACGUUAGGUAGGGCUGACUCAGUCAAGCAGUGUUCAGAGCUGUUGACUAUAUAUUAACUCGUUUAAUUUCUGCAACAGCCUCAUGAAGUGCGUGGGGAAACAAAGGCACACAAGGCUCGAAAGCACCCCGUGGUUGUGCAGCUAACAAGCUAACAGGCAGCAGAGGUGGGCUUUGAACCCAGGCAGCCUGGCUCCAGCAAACCUGCUUCUAACCAUUAGCUAUACUGCUUCUCACGCAUCUGGGAUGCCCCCCACUCUCCAAUCCUUUUAAACAAGUCCUAUUAUUCUUACGCGAAAAUACCUCUCAUAAAUUCCCAGCAUUCCAAUAUUGAAAAUCAUUCUGAGUCAUGCUUUUCUCAUCUAUUAACUAUGCUUCCAUUUUUGUGUCACAAGGCGGAUAAGCAUACCUCCUACAUCUUUGUGGCACUUCUAAAGGAAGCUUCUAGGGUAAUUAGGAUUUGCUGGCUAUGAUCAUUUGCCAAACCACAGGACAGUUCUGGCCACCAUUUCUGAGAUUAGCAAAGCUAUGCUCAUACUUAUUGCCCUUUCUUUUAGGUUCUUGUAUGUUUCCUCAACCUCUCCCACUUUCUCUCACUCUGAUACAGCCAGUUCCUCUUUUUCUUUUAAUCCGGUAUUUAGAUAAGUCCAGUCAAUACUUUGCUUCAGAUGGGCGCAAACAUCCUUUCUUUAAUUCUUUUUUUUUUUUUUUUUUUUUUUUUGAGACGGAGUCUCACUCUGUCGCGCAGGCUGGAGCGCAGUGGCGCGAUCUCAGCUCACUGCAACCUCCGCCUCCAGGGUUCAAGCCAUUCUCCUGCCUCAGCCUCCCGAGUAGCUGGGAUUACAGGCACCUGCCACUACUCCCGGCUAAUAUUUUGUAUUUUUAGUAGAGACAGGGUUUUACCAUAUUAGCCAGGCUGGUCUCAAACCCUGACCUCAAGUGAUCCACCCGCCUUGGCCUCCCAAAGUGCUGAGAUUACAGGCAUGAGCCACCUGCUUUUAACUUGUUCAGCUACAAAGGCAUGUCUGUGAAUGCACAACCGUAAUGACUCAUCAUGGCCCCAGAGCUAUAACAAUGAUAAGGUACCAAGCAUCUUACACCAUGUGUGCGUUGAUGAGAAUCAACAUCCUUGCCUGUUCUUGUGAUUUUCUGGCUGAGUAUAGCUUCUUGGGGGCAAGUAUGUGUUCUACACCACUAGGAGAAGUUUCUCUGUCAUACACUUCUGGGCCUCUCUGGGGAAGCCAAACUCUAAAGGCCUUUUCUGAGGAGUGUCGGAAAUGCUUCGUGCAGUAAGAGGCACACUGCCAGUUCCUGACUGUGUUAACAGAUGUUCCAGCUACCAGGACGCCUCCGAGUGUGUACCUUGUGACAGAGAAAGGUACUUCUCAGCUGUAGUAAAGGAUGCUCUCAAGGGUACUCUGCAAAGCUUCUGACUGCGAGGCACUUCUCAGUAAAAAGCUUUGUUUUUCAGACCUUUUUAUUUUGUGGGCUUGGUCUUUUCUGUUUUACCUUCUCGUUGCUGUAAUUCUGAUGGAUGAAAGGUACAUUUUGCAGAACUGAACUUCCUGCCUGAAAGGAGCCUUUACAUGGGGAUUAGCCAUCAGUAGGCAUCCGGUCUUAGAGGGUCCUAUGAGUGCUCCAUUGGGCCCGUCGGCCAUUUCCCUGGAUCCCCACAGGGACUCAUUCAGAACGAGUCACAUGCUGCUUUGUACCUAGAUGCUUCCUUGUGUACAUCUUGUUUCCAAAAGAAGUAGCCAGCUCUUCGUGGACAGGAAUUGUGUCUUACUUUUUUGCCAUCCCUCACCUCAGGCAGCACUGCCAAGAGCAUUCACACUGACCGUGGAACUCCGUUGAUUGAAUGUUGGCUUCAGUAAGUUCCUGAUGUCGUUGGGGCUGUAGCAGUUGGAAUCUGGCUUCUGCAAUACUCAAGUAGUCCUACUGAAUUACAGUACUGUGAGACCCCCUCUGCACAACCCUGAAGUGGGUCAGAACUCCACACUGUGCCAUAAAGAGGAAAGCUGCCGACAGGGAGGUCUAAGGAAACACCUCCUUUGUGGAAGGCAGCAAUGGCAUGAGAGCCACCCUUCGGGCCAAAGGUGCAGCCUGACAUUCUCUGCAGAAUUACGCAGUGAGUUAAGAGUGUGAGCUUCGUUUCUGAGAUACAGCUCCACCCGCUAUGAUCCUGGGAAAAUGUCUCAGCUUCACCAGGCCUCUGUUUCUUCACUCUUUGCUCACUUACUAUCUACCAGGCAUGUUAAAAAUACUUUGUGUGAAUUAUUUUAGCUUUUCACUAACCCUAUUCUACAGGCAUUAAUAAGUGAGCAAAGAGAUUGUGUAUUAUUAGUUAUGCAUUAUUAUGUAUUAUCUAUGUUCUUAUUAGCUGCUUAGUUACAAUAAUAUUUGCUAAACUUUUGCUCUAUUUAUUAAAUUAUCAUUGAACCUU
rnacentral:sRNA from 1 species